CCUUGCCCCCAUCCCAUACAUAUCCCUGAGUCCCUGUUUUCGGGGAAGCAGAUUUGAGAUUCAUUCUCUCACUUGCUCACUUGGCUGCCUUGUGAUUAAAACCCUCUCUCUGAUACAAUCUUGUCCUCUUGGUUUUUGGCUUUCCGGGUGACGGGCAAAAACCAACCUGGGUUUGGUAACAAUCUUCCCUUUUUCAAGACUAUGAAAAACCAACACACAACGCCUCGUGUUUGAAACCAAGCACAAUGGGAGAGUGAUCCUAAAAUCAAAAUCUAAAGGAAAGCAAGUCUACGUCCACAAGAAUGUUCUCUGAAGCCUACGGAUAAUAAAAUACAGAAACAAUUGCCAUCUUAUGACCCGCCUCUUCCCACUGUGAGAAAAACCACAGUGAUGAAUGACAUCAGGGAGAGCACAGUGUUGGGCGAAUUCUACAGCAGACUCUUGAAAGAGAUGUGUGUGUCAAUAUCCUCUCUGUCAUUCAUUUGUCAGUCCUUUCACUGAAGCUAAAAAUAUUCUUUGAGCACCUACUAUGUGCCAGGUACUGUUCUUGAUUCUGGGCUAUAGGCUUCAAUAAGAUUGAAAAAGUCUCUGUCCUCUAGAAACAGAAAGAGGGAGAAAAAUAAAUCAUAUAAUUUCAGGUAAUACUUCUAAAGUAUUAUGAACAUAUUUCUUUCAGUGAAAGGCCCUUUGAUAACAGCAAGAUUAUCAUGAGCAAGGAACAAAAGAAGGUUGAAUUUGCUGCGGCAUCAUGAGUGAUAUGUUCUGGAGGCCGGGCCCAGAUACCCAAUAAGGCCUUGGGAGGCCACAGUAAGGAGUUCACAUCUUAAAUGUAAAGGGCAGCCUGGAAGGAUUUGAGUGGAGAAAUGCGGAGAUUUAAUUUUCCUUUUAUUAAGGCUUCCUGUAACUGCUGUGUAGAAGACAGACUCUAAGGAGACAAGAAUUGGAGCAGAGAGACCCAUUUGAAAGUUAUUACACUGGUCCACCAUGCGAUGGCGGCCAACUGGACCAAGGCAUAGCAGUGGAUACAGCACGUGCAGCAGCAAGUGGAGAGCAGGGUCAGAUUCCGAACACAAUUUGAAAAUUGAGCCAAGAGGAGUUAUUUAAUGUGUUUAAUAAAUAAUCAGAAAGAUUUAUAGUGACUGUGAGGUUGUCACAAUUGGAAAAGAAUAUGUUCUUUCAGUGUAAUGCCCUUAAUUCUGUAAUCCUUAAAUAGGUUGGUAACAUUGUAGAAAUUUCUUUUUUAUACCAUCUUAAUAUGAAAAUUAGCGGAGAUGAUCUAAUAUUACAUAAUGAAAGCAAAAUUACCAUUUACUCAUUUGACCAUAACUGUUUUAAGAAGUAAGACCAAUAAACACUCCACCGAGCUACACUACUAAGCUUGUAGAAAGCAAACAAAUGCCUCAAUGCUCUAAUAUAAACCACUUCCCGAGGGAGUCGGUUCAUCACCUUAGCAAAAUGUUGACUUCACAAGAUUAGAUACACAUAUAUUUUGGUUGGUUGGACUCAAAUUAUGUUGGUUUUAAUGAACGCUGUUGAUUUCAUUUCAAAGUUACCUGAUUUUACUGCAGCAUGGGCAUGGGGAGAAUCAAACAUCAGGUACUUGUUAAUAUAAAUUUCUCUGUCCUUGUCAUUUUCCAGCAUAAGAACAAGGAAAAGGGUGGGUGAUGGUAGCAGGGACUCUAGGGUUAAUGGACAAGAUUAUUGCCACACCAAGAUUUCAAAUUCACUGUUACAUGGCUCAGCACUUUCAAGAAUGAUUGUGUGUAUGUGUAUCUGUGUAGCUGGGGACACUGAGCGGAAUGGUGCCCUGGCUUUGUGAGCUGCUGUAUGAAAAGUAGAAUUAAAGGCUCAGAGAUGACAAUAAAAAGAAUGAAAGAAGAACACCUAACAAAAUUCUAAACCUCCCAAUCUGAUUGGCUUUUUGUAAUCAGUCAUCUCCUAAAUAUAUUUUAUUAUGCAAGGUUACCCGCCAUCUUUCCGUGCUCCCAGUCUGACACAUAUUAACGUGUUGCAUAGCUAGUGUUCUAUGGACAUCAUUAACCUCUUUCUACCUUAAAGGCCUCUGUCCUCACUGUGGUGAUUAAGAGAGGAGGUGAGGGACAAAGACUCCCUGGGUUGGAGUCUCAGUUCUCCAUUGGCUAGCUAUCUGGCAUCUGGAAAUUGAUUUUAUCUCUUGGCAAAUCAGGUUCCUCAUCUGUGAAGAGAAGUUGAUAACUGUAGCUAACUCAAAAGAUUGUUAUGAGAAUUAAGUGAGAUAAUGCAGGUAGAGAGUUGUGCAAUAAGAGUUCAGUAAAUUAUAGUUAUUCCACUCUGCCAUAAGAAUCACAUUUUGGUGAUAAUAGGAAGACAACAUCUCUGAACCCAGCAGAAUUUUGUGUGAAAGACAACAUUAUUAAGAGAUUGCAGAAAGCAAUGAACGAAUAUUUUUUGAAUCUCUACAACAAUGUGCUAGGAGCUGUGAUGGAGCUGUGCCUCUUCAUUUGAUACAACAUCUGGCAAAGCAUGCAUCAUUAAUUCCAAUUUACAAAUGAGAUCACUGAGGUCAGAGAGGUCAACAAUAUGGCACAGUCGCACAGCUAGUGGAUAGAAGAAUGGAGAUUUCACCAAUGUCUACCUGAGAAAAGAGCAAUUUACCCAUAAUAUACUACAAAUUCUGUUAGGCAACAUUAGUGGAAAUUCCCAGCUCUGAAUUACUAGAUCCAUGAAUAUUCCGUCCUCCAUGGCUCUCAUUCUGAACAAUGAGAAGUAUCAAUCCUCUGUGAAACGCUGGCCACAUGCAGUUAACUCUGCUACAGCAUUAAUAUUCUCAUUGUUCAAUACAGUAGUUCAUUCUAAACAGUUCAAAGCAGUUCAUUGUAAAAAAUAAAAUCUAUUAAUUAGAUGCAUCAGUCAGGUUCAAAAUAUUGUAUCAGAGCCUAUUGGUACUUGGAAACUCCCAUGCAAUAACGAACCCAAUGCUAGAAGCUGGUAGCUGCACUAUAAAAGCAAAAUUAGAGAAUGCAACUUCAUUGAAUUUAAAAGAGAUAUUGUAUUGUUAAAAUACUUAGCAUAAGUAAAAUACUUAAGCAUAAGUAUAAUAAAAUAUAUGCUUUAUUUAAUAACACUCUUGGUAUAUUUAAGGUCAUUUUGCUUGACUUCUCAAAGACAGCAAAAACAUACACAUGGUAGAUAUGCAGCUAACUCUAAAAGAGUAUUUCUCAGUCAGGUGUUACAUCCAGAUGGACUCCUGUAAUGUUUGGUGAUACUACAGUCAGCUAGUCUCACUCUCACCUUCAUUAUAAAGGUGAACACCUCAUGUGUUCAUGUUUUAACUCCUUCAGAAGCUGUGAUGUUUCUUUAAAUUGAAAGAAUGAUAGAAUGAUGCUGGGGGAUGCUAAAACAUUGAGUAUGAGUUAGAAUGCUUGGAGAGAUAUAAAUACAAGUAUGUCAAAUGAUUGAGACACACUAGAAUGAGGAAGAAAGAAAUGUGGAGUUAUGGCAUUCAAUUACACUCAGCAUUUAGAGAAAAUAUUAGUAUUUGUGAUGGCAAGCUGGCAAAAAUAAGAUGCAUGGAAUUGAAUAGAAAGGUUUUCACGUCUAGAGUUACUGUUAGGCUAUUAACUAGUAGCAAUUUCAGAGAAUUUUUAGUGAACUGUGCUGUGCAACUGUGCCACCUGUAUGGAUAUUUUGGACAAGAUUUUCAUUUUGGGUUUUUUUUCUUAUUAGAAAAUAACUUACAAGAGUAACUUGUUUCAGAAUUAAUUACUGUGGGAAAGACCUUUGUACUCUGAUUCAGUGUAUUUGUUCUGAUGAAGUGGUCUUUUUGGUUUUUUAUACGAAAUGAGCCUGCUGGUGGCUGUCUUCCUUUAAUUAGGGAACAGUAAUCUAGCACUGCUUCAAUGCCAUCCACACAAAAAGGGGCUUUAUCAAAAAUAUAACUAAUUUACAGUCAUUCAGAGUGCUAUUUUAAUAACACAGCUCAUUGCUUAAAAAGUUAUGAAAAAGUACCUUAAUCAUGUCCUCAGAAAGGAAGCAAGAUAUAAGUUUUAGCCUAGAAAUUCUUAAUUCUGGCUACAUUUAAUAUUUGCUUGGGUAAAAGUUAAAAGUAUGCAUCACUGAUGUCACUUUUUGGACCAAUUAAAAUUGAUUCUCUGGAUUUGGGACCGAAGGAAUUUUAAAAGCUCUCCAGUGACUUGAAUGUAUGGCCAGAGUUGAGAAGCCCUGACGCAGGCAAUGCGGCCAGGCCACCAAACUGUUCACUACUGAAAAUUCAGGGCUUAACUUCUGCAGGUUAUAAAUAAAUUCACUCUGAAGUUGUAAAAUAGUGUCGGGGCAGAUAGUACCACUUUUUGAUAAAUUCUGGCUUUAUUCUAUUUCUAUUCAAUUUAUGAGAAGGAAAAGACCCAGUUCAGUGGCAUUGCUCAUAGGAAAGUCCAGCAAGCUAUGGACAUGAAUGUAAGCCUUGCUCAACUGAGCAAAUCUUAUGUGAUAACAGCAAAAGGAUAGAGAGGAGGUUGAGGAAACUUGUCUCUGUUAGAGGAAAAGUAAGAUUAUAUUGCCUGGGAAUGGGGGAUCAGAAUAGAAUCUUUCUGUAUCACUAUUAUUCCAAAUACUGGAUGACUAUCAACUAGUUCAAAUUUCAGAUUUGAAAACUAUCAAUAGAACUCUGGGCUAUUUUGACUGAAAUAUGAGCAUUUUUCCCUACUUACUAAAAACUUCUGAUGUGAAUAUUUUUCUUUACAUAGUCAUAUUUGUAUAUGUGGUUUGGAGAAAAAAGAAAGAAAAUACAGACAUCAAGUAGAAAUAUAACCACAAAUUAUCCCAAAACGUGGAGAUACUCACUAUUAGCUAGCACGCUGGUACAUAUCUUUCUAGUUCUUUUCCAAUACAUUUUUAACUAAACUGAGAGGUCUACAUUUGUAUUUAAGCUCUUUUUAACCCACUUAUUAACAUGUCACUAGACAUUCGAUAAUACAAUUUAUUAAUGGUUAUGUGAUAUUCUAGCAUGGAGAUGUUCUACAAUUUAUUUAACCACUCCCAUAUUACUAGAAUAUUCAA